rnacentral:rRNA from 1 species
CAGUCGCCGCGGUAAUACGUAGGUGGCAAGCGUUGUCCGGAAUUAUUGGGCGUAAAGCGCGCGCAGGUGGUUUAAUAAGUCUGAUGUGAAAGCCCACGGCUCAACCGUGGAGGGUCAUUGGAAACUGUUAAACUUGAGUGCAGGAGAGAAAAGUGGAAUUCCUAGUGUAGCGGUGAAAUGCGUAGAGAUUAGGAGGGACACCAGUGGCGAAGGCGGCUUUUUGGCCUGUAACUGACACUGAGGCGCGAAAGCGUGGGGAGCAAACAGGAUUAGAUACCCCAGUAGUCCCUGUCUCUUAUAC